rnacentral:sRNA from 12 species
CCACGGCCAGGGUGGUUCCCAAUAGGGAUGUGCCUGGACGUCCCAGCUGGCGGUGGGCGUAUGCAAAACACCAGCAGCC